UCUGCUCUACGACCCGAGCUCCCUCCCUCUCUGUCGCUCUCUCUCCGGCCCGAGCUCCCUCCUCCUCCCACGCUCUGUCUUCGGCCCAAAAACUUUUUUGUCUCUAUGAAGGCCCUAGGUCUCUCCCUCUCUCUCUCUCUAACAAAAAAUAGCGCGGCCCGAGCCCAAACCCAGGAAGCCCGAGCUCGAUUUUUAGCUUAUCUUUCGGCCCCAAAUCAUCCCCAUCAAAGGUAUGAAAGAUUUUUUAUUUAUUUUCAUAAAAAAAUAUAGCACAUUUAUUUUAGAAAAUUGCUCAAAUCUGUUGUUGGGUCAUUGUUCGUCGAUUUUUGGUAUAUUUGAUCUGUUAUUGACAAUGAAGGGAUGGAUUGCUCAUGGAUUAAGAUUUAUUGAAGUUUUUCUUAUUAAAUUUUUAUGGAGUUUGUCAUUUUUUAUCUAUUGUCAUUUUAGGGUUUAAAUGUACUUGGUGGUAGUAAAUUUGUUAAAAUUUAGUUAUUAAGAAAAAUAUGCCUAGCUAUUGUUAAUUUUUUUUUAAUAGUAGUUACGAUAGCUUCAAUUUCUCAAUUUGUCUUCUUGCUAUGAUAGCUUUGAUGCAAUAAUAGUUUUUGUCAAUAUUGUGUCACUACUCACUGAAUACAAGCAACAAAUGCAAGCACUAGACAAAGUGCAUAUGCUCGACAAGACUCUCAAAAUCUCAAACUAAUCUUAGCAAUAGUUUGGAAAGAAUAUAAUUUCAUCCUUAAAAACAUUCUUUGUAGGGUUAAUUUUUGGGAGGAUUUAUAUAGUUUGGGUUUUUUCAAAUUUAAAAAGCAUUUCUUAAAAUUUUAGGUGAAAAAAGGAAUAAAUUCAAAAGGUUCAUAAUAAUUAAAAUAAGAAUGACAUAAAAGGAAAAUUGUUAUUUUAUUCGCCUUUUCAAUAUUUAAGUGUGUGUCUAGGAUUAUCUUGUGUUACUUGUGAAAUUCUAACUACAUGUUUCCUAUGAAUAAAUCUUUUAUUUAAACAUAUGCAUAGAAGAUUUUUGCAAGGAGUAUAAAAAGAAAUUGGUGGUGGUGCAAUUGGACACUUGAUAACUAUGGGUAAUUGAGACUUUUGUCUUGAACUAUAAUUUUGUGGUUUAGGCCUAAUUGAUUUACGUUAGUGCUAUAUAAAAUCGUCACUAAGAACUAUACAAAAUAAGAAAUUGGCUAAAAUCGUUAAGAUUGCAUUAUUCAAAUAAUCAUUGGGUUUGUUUAUCUGUGGAGUGUAAAUUAUUACAAAUCUUGUGUAGGAGAAAAGAAAAUGAGUGAUAGCAGAUUGAUUUAUUGUAUUUUUUGUGGAGAACUCCAAUCAAAUGUCUAUGGGACUUUGGAUUAUAUUGGUGGGGAUACAGUUACAUUUAUUAAUGAAAUUAGAACUAGGUUAGAUGACCUGCGAAAAUAUGUAGCAGAGCGUUUCUCGCUAGACAGACACUUGAUAUCAUUGAGGUAUUUUGUCCUGAGAAAUAGAAGAUUUAUUGUGAAUCUAUUCAUUGAUGAUGAUAUUGAGAAGAUGUUGAAUGCACAUGAAGGCGAGAAUAAUCUCUUCGUUUAUAUAUUUGAUGGGAGUGAACAAAGGGGUGGAAGUACUUCACGUAAUACUAGGGCAAUCGAAGAGGUCAAAUCCCCCCAAUCCUCUUAUGUUUUGGCCUCUGGUUCCGAACAAAGCAAUGCACUAAGGUUGCUUAGUUCAUGGGAGGAUGCACUUACCGGUAUAGGGCAACAAUUUGAAGCUCUAGAUGACUUCCGAGAAGCCCUUAGUAAGUUUGCUAUAGCACACCAUUUCACAUACUGUCUUGUUAAAAAUGAGGGGUAUCGCAUAAGAGCGAAAUGCAAGGGUGAUGGUGCAAAUGGGAGAUAUAUGCUUCGAAGUUUGGCAGAACGAAUGUUUUUAGCAUCAAAACAUGAAUAAGAGAACACUCAUGUAAUAUUGGGACAUGCAAUGAUGUACAGAGAAGUGCGUCACAAAAAUUUAUUGUAUUAUUAAUCAAGGAUAAAUUAAGUGACACUUCGCAUUACAAGGCUAAAGAAAUCAUGAAUUAUUUGUCUCAAGAUUAUGGGUGAGAAAUACCCUAUUGCAAGGCUUGGCGAGGGAAAGAAACGGCCAUCAAAGACAUACAUGGUUCGCAAGAGGAGACAUACAACCAGUUACCCGCAUAUAUAACUGUGUGAUGGAGACGAAUCCUGAUAGUUAUGCGAUAGGACAAGUAUGACAAGAUGACAGAUUUCGUCGAAUGUUCUUAAGCUUUUAUGGCUCAAUACAUGGUUUCAAAAGUAGAUGUCAUCCACUUCUAUUUCUCGAUGUGACAUCAUUGAAGGUACGAUACCUCAAAACUUUACCUGCUGCCAACUCAUUCGAUGGGGAAGAACAAAUGUUUCCUGUUGCAUUUGCUAUUGUGGAUGCCAAAAGUACCGAAAACUAGUUAUGAUUUAUAGAAUCUCUAAAGAUUGCUAUUGGGACAAAUCUUGAAAUCACUUUUUGUCAGAUAGAUACCCUGACCUAGGUGAUACUGUCUGUCAAGUUUUUGAGAAUGCCCAUCAUGCCUUCUGUGAGUGUCAUUUAGUGGAGAAUUUUAAGAAGGAAAUAUUAAGAAGGCAGUUGUAAAAUAUUUUGUCGGAGCAUAUAGAACGUACAGGAUGCAAGAGUAUUUUGAUAAUAUGAGUGAAAUUAGGUUAAUUUUUGAGGACACAUUCAAGUUGUUCAUGGAAGCAUCGCCAGACCAUUGGGUCAGAUCACUCUUCAGGGGUAAACGAUAAUCAAGUAUCAACCAAUGUGAUUGAGUCAUAUAACAAGUGGAUUCUAAAAGUACGAGACAUGUCAAUUCUCCAGUGCGUUGACUUGAUUAGAAGACAAAUCAUUAAACUAAUGGCCACCCACAGCUUGGAAGUCAAAACCUAGACUAUAACAGUUACCCCACACGAGCAAAAUGAACUGAGAAAGACCAUAAACCAAUCCCUUUUCUGUUACACUGUAUCAAGUGAAGUAGUGUUUGAAGCAAUGGGUGAUCAUAUGAAUUAUAAAGUAAAUAUAAUUGCACGAGAAUGUGAAUAUCAGGGGUAGCAAAUAAAGGGUUUGCCCUACAAGCAUGCUUGUAAAAGCUUUCAAUGGAUGAAUAGGGACCCUGUUGACAAUUGUGAAGACUAUUUCACGGUUGCAAAUUUUCGUGAAACAUAUUCUGAAUCUAUCGUAUCAGUUGCCUUGAGCGAUCUAUCUGGGCAUAAACGUUGACAACUUCCUUUAUAUGGAAUCAGACUACUUCUACCUCACUCAAGACAAUAAACUGGUUAACCUAAAAAAAAGCACAUCGAGUCGCAGGAAGUACCAAUGCAACCUAUUUACUGUAGUAGGUGAAAAGGAACUAGUCACAACAAGGCAAUAUGUAAAGCACCCACUUGAAGGCCCAUAUUUGUACUAUCUUCUUUAUUCUGUCUUUUAAAAUUGUAGCACCUACUUGUGAGAAAUUUUCUCAAUACAUAUAUUAAUGGUGUUUGUUAUAGUGUUUGUAUGACUUUUGUUCAUUUCGCGAUAUUCUUGUAUAUAUAUUGGAUACGCCACUUUUCUCUCUCUUUUUUUAUUGGAUAUGCUACUUGCGGUUUUUUUUAUGCCAAGUAUGAAAAUAGAAUUAGCAAUGUAAGACUCGGAACAACUAAGAGGCAUAGGGGAGCCAUCCACUUCAUCAGGUCAAAGGCAAGAGGUACGAUGAUUUAUUUGUUUUAGUUAAUGAUUUAUAUUAAUUAGGUAUUUCUCAUGUUAUUAACUAUUGUCAUUUCUUGUUAAUUUUCAUUUAGGAGAGAAAUAUACUUCGUAUUGAUAAAUCAACUCAAGCCCUAGCAAAAUGAAAGCUCGAUCAACGACAUGUACCUCUAAUUCAAAAGACUGGGUUGAGCCCAUUGAUGGAUGUUAGGGUCUUGCAUAUCGAUUGCAAUCUAGUGAGUGCAUUUAUAGGGAAAUGGUACAAGAACACGAAUAAUGCAUUUCUAAGUAUCGGUGAAAUGACUCCAACCCUAUAUGAUGUGUGAUAGAUAUUAAGGAUACCCGUGACGGGUGAACUUGUAAUUGGCAUUAAGCCUGAAAAGUAUGUGCUUUCGUCAAAGAGUAUCUGGAAGAUUUCCUUAAAGAUGUUUCCCCGAUGCGUCUCAAUCAUACAUGGUUGAGGAGUAGAUUUGGCAAACUACUAAAAAGGCCCACUAAAUUACAACUCACGCAACACACACGAGCAUAUGUCCUUUAUUUAGUCGGCCCAACUAUAUUUGUCGACUCAUCUAAAGGAUCAACACUUACAAUAUACCUGCAAUUCUUUCGAGAUUUUGAUGAGGCAUGGAACUAUGCAUGGGGUAUUGCGGUGCUUGCUUUCUUGUAUCAUUCCUUGUUUAAGGUCGCGAGUGGGAAAAAUAAUCAUUUUAGUGGUGUUGGAUCUAUGAGCUUUUUUAGCUCUAGCCACUAAGCCUACAUUGGUCAUCAACCCAAGAAUGCCUAAGGCUUGCAUGUGGAAGAAACAAGUAUGUCACAAAAACAUCUCAUUUGAUAUGGUGAUCUAGCAACCGUAUGAGGAGUCGCAUAAAAUUGCAAAGUAGUUCAUGUGUCGAUCAUACCUCAUAAGUUUCAACAGUGCUGAGUAUUAUAUGCCCGAUCGCGUGUUGCGACAAUUUGGAAAGUUGUAAAGUAAUCCUGUUAUGCCACCCAAGUGGGAUAGGAGGGAGAAGGUCAGUAUAUACCCCACAAAUUGGACUGAAAAAUUGGGUAGGCAGAUAAAAGAUUGGAAACAACGAGAAUGUAAUGUUGUCAAGGCAGCCUUGGAUAGAUCUGGUGGAGUACAUACAGAAGAGUACAUGGCCUGCUACAACAUGUUUAUACAAAGAUUUAGAAAAAGCCCCCUCUGCCUCCCGUCGCAGUCACAAUCUCAUGUACAACCCUCUGGAGGCUCGCCUUAAAAAAAAACUAUUUACCUUGGGGGUUUUCCAUAGAAAGUUAUUGUGGGGAAAAAAGAGAGAAAAAACGGUUUGGAUGGGAGUAAAUUGCACAUAUAGUGUAUUUUGAA